ensembl:lncRNA
AAUGAUUCAGAGAUCCAGAAAAUACUUUUGCCAAGAAUUGUUGGAUCUGGAGAUAACCCAGAGAGGGGAUGCAACUUCAUUCUUUGGGUUUUUGACAUGACAAAGCACAUCAGAGUUUAUGAUAACACCAAUCAAUAUCUGACAAUACACAACCGUGACAUGGAAAUUCUGAAGACUUUCUUAUUUUUACACACUGUUUCAUAUAAUUACAAAUUGUGCCCAAUACAUUAUGAUUUUUAAACAAAUCAUUGCAUAAUAAGUUAUUAUAAUAAAAUUGUAAUACAAUUAAAAUAUUAAAUUAUUUACAUUAUAUACUAAAGUACUGUUUUUUUUCCAGAGAUGCUUUUAGAAAUAUUGCAUCCUUGGACAAUUGGACUGUGUCUAGUCUACAGCAAUGGCAGAGAGACGAUGGAAGGAACUGUGGUGUUUUCGUAUGCACAAUGGCAGAGAUGGAAGCUAAAAGUAUUAAAAUGUGCCACGAAAUUCUGCACACUGAACAGAUGGGAUACCUUCAUCUUUACCAUGCCUCAUGCAUGGUGAAACUUCUACAACCAGAGGUAACCCUUGAAAUUCAAAAGGUUUACAGUUUACAGAGUAUGCAAAGCUCAACAUGAAAGUUUAUCCUAGGACUUUCCACCCAAAGUCAAAAUAGUCCAGACCAGCUGUAUGGCCCAUGUAGGAGUUUGCAUUUAUCAAAAAUAUUGAUCAAAGUAUGUGAUAACUAUUUAAUUUCCUUAUGAACUACAAUUUAAUAAAAGCAGUUACACUCAUUGUUAUCAUUUAUCUGUAUGCAGAGUAAUGCACCCACGAAUCCAGUCACUGGACUGGAUUCAAUGUGACCUUUGCAAAAAAUGCCUGCCUUCUGACUGCGCUGGUAUCAGCCUUGAAACGAUCACAGAGGAAACAUCAUUCAGCUGUGGAUGUGACACUAACCAUGUGCAUACCUUUGAGAAAACAUUGGCACUACUGAAGAAGGGCUGGUUGGUUGACAUUGUAAUACAGGAUCAAGAAGUCUUGAGAUUGCACGAAGGCUUGAGAAACGGCACAAUCCGAUCCAGCAGGAUGUUUUUAUUUAAACAUCCCACAUUUUCUCCAAAGCUGAGGAUGAAACUUAGCAAAAAGUUUUGUUUUUUUUUGAGGAAGAACAGUUAUUUCAUACUGUUUGCCUUGUUUAACAAUUUAUAUAUUUAA